UGGGGUGUAGUUCAAUUGGCAGAGCGCCUGGUUGUUACCCAGGAAGUUGGAGGUUCGACUCCUCUCGCCCCAGCCA
rnacentral:tRNA from 4 species